GGUAUGGGCUGCAAGUGGGGGGAAUAGAGGAUGAAGUGGGAGGGAUAGAUGCUGUUCGGCCAAUUAUGCAUGAAUCAGAGCGCUAUUUUCCCCUUUAAAAUGAUAUAUAAUGUGUGGGGAUACGUCAUGUUCAAUUGGUGUUUUUUGGGGUAUGUUCUGUGUUCAGCUCUCUGUGUCUGGGAGAUAAUUAGCUUACCGGUUAUCAACUCAAUUGUCUCCCAGAUAGAGAGAUGCCUG